AGGAAUGCAAGUACAACCUCAGUUUAAAGGAAUUUGGAUGCGUGCCAUACAACGUCGAUUAUCCUCAUAAUGAUUCCAUUUGCAAGCUAUGCAGGGGCUGCUCAGAUAAGGCAAAGGUACUUGAUGAAUGUGAAAAUCUGCUUAAUAGCUACAAUCAGCCUUGCGACUUCAUUAGCUAUAAAAUGGCGUUGGAAGAGAAGACUAUCUUGAUCGA